AUGAACGCUGGCGGCAGGCUUAAUACAUGCAAGUCGAACGGUAACAUGUCGGAGCAAUCUGAUGAUGACGAGUGGCGCACGGGUGCGUAACGCGUAUGCAACCUACCCAUAACCGGAACAUAACGUUGAGAAAUCGGCGCUAAUAUUCCAUGUGUAUAUUUUUGUGGCAUCAUAGGAUAUAUAAAGAUUAAUUGGUUAUGGAUGGGCAUGCGUAUCAUUAGCUAGUUGGUAGGGUAACGGCCUACCAAGGCUGCGAUGAUUAGGGGUUCCGAGAGGAUAACCCCCCACACUGGAACUGAGACACGGUCCAGACUCCUACGGGAGGCAGCAGUAGGGAAUAUUGGGCAAUGGAGGCAACUCUGACCCAGCCAUGCCGCGUGAAGGAAGACGGUCCCUAUGGAUUGUAAACUUCUUUUAUCAUAGAGUAACCGCAGGGACGUGUCCCUGCCUGCAAGUAUAUGAUGAAUAAGCAUCGGCUAACUCCGUGCCAGCAGCUGC
rnacentral:rRNA from 1 species